CCAAUAGCGUAUAUUAAAGUUGUUGUGGUUAAAAAGCUCGUAGUUGAACCUUGGGCCUGGCUGGCCGGUCCGCCUCACCGCGUGUACUGGUCCGGCCGGGCCUUUCCCUCUGUGGAACCUCAUGCCCUUCACUGGGUGUGACGGGGAAGCAGGACUUUUACUGUGAAAAAAUUAGAGUGCUCCAAGCAGGCCUAUGCUCGAAUACAGUAGCAUGGAAUAAUAAAAUAGGACGUGCGGUUCUAUUUUGUUGGUUUCUAGGACCGCCGUAAUGAUUAAUAGGGACAGUCGGGGGCAUCAGUAUUCAAUUGUCAGAGGUGAAAUUCUUGGAUUUAUUGAAGACUAACUACUGCGAAAGCAUUUGCCAAGGAUGUUUUCAUUAAUCAAGAACGAAAGUUAGGGGAUCGAAGACGAUCAGAUACCGUCGUAGUCUUAACCAUAAACUAUGCCGACUAGGAAUCAGACGAUGUUAAUUUUUUAAUGACUCGUUUGGCACCUUACG
rnacentral:misc_RNA from 1 species